rnacentral:rRNA from 1 species
UACGUAGGGCGCAAGCGUUGUCCGGAAUUAUUGGGCGUAAAGAGCUCGUAGGCGGCUUGUCGCGUCGAUUGUGAAAGCCCGGGGCUUAACUCCGGGUCUGCAGUCGAUACGGGCAGGCUAGAGUGUGGUAGGGGAGAUCGGAAUUCCUGGUGUAGCGGUGAAAUGCGCAGAUAUCAGGAAGAACACCUAUGGCGAAGGCAGCACUCUGGGACGGUACUGACGCUGAGACGCGAAAGCGUGGGGAGCGAACAGG